rnacentral:rRNA from 1 species
UGUUAAGUCAGAUGUGAAAGCCCCGAGCUUAACUUGGGGAACUGCGUUUGAAACUGGCAAGCUAGAGUCUGUCAGAGGGGGGUAGAAUUCCACGUGUAGCAGUGAAAUGCGUAGAGAUGUGGAGGAAUACCAAUGGCGAAGGCAGCCCCCUGGGAUAAGACUGACGCUCAUGCACGAAAGCGUGGGGAGCAAACAGGAUUAGAUACCCUGGUAGUCCACGCCCUAACCGAUGUCAACUGGUUGUUGGGCAACUUGAUUGUUCAGUAACGAAGCUAACGCGAGAAGUUGACCGCCUGGGGAGUACGGUCGCAAGAUUAAAACUCAAAGGAAUUGACGGGGACCCGCACAAGCGGUGGAUGAUGUGGAUUAAUUCGAUGCAACGCGAAAAACCUUACCUACCCUUGACAUGUACGGAAGUCUGGUGAGAGGUGGAUGUGCCUGAAAGGGAACCGUAACACAGGUGCUGCAUGGCUGUCGUCAACUCGUGUCGUGAGAUGUUGGGUUAAGUCCCGCAGCGAGCGCAAGCCUUUCUAUUAAUUUCCAUCAUUAAGUUGGGCACUUUAAUAGAACUGCUGGUAAUAAACCGGAGGAAGGUGGGGAUGACGUCAAGUCCUCAUGGCCCUUAUGGGUAGGGCUUCACACGUCAUACAAUGGCCGGUACAGAGGGAUGCCAACCCGCGAGGGGGAGCCAAUCUCAGAAAGCCGUUCGUAGUC